rnacentral:rRNA from 1 species
GAUGGACGCUGGCGGCGUGCCUAAUACAUGCAAGUCGAGCGAACAGACGAGGAGCUUGCUCCUCUGACGUUAGCGGCGGACGGGUGAGUAACACGUGGAUAACCUACCUAUAAGACUGGGAUAACUUCGGGAAACCGGAGCUAAUACCGGAUAAUAUAUUGAACCGCAUGGUUCAAUAGUGAAAGACGGUUUUGCUGUCACUUAUAGAUGGAUCCGCGCCGCAUUAGCUAGUUGGUAAGGUAACGGCUUACCAAGGCAACGAUGCGUAGCCGACCUGAGAGGGUGAUCGGCCACACUGGAACUGAGACACGGUCCAGACUCCUACGGGAGGCAGCAGUAGGGAAUCUUCCGCAAUGGGCGAAAGCCUGACGGAGCAACGCCGCGUGAGUGAUGAAGGUCUUCGGAUCGUAAAACUCUGUUAUUAGGGAAGAACAAAUGUGUAAGUAACUAUGCACGUCUUGACGGUACCUAAUCAGAAAGCCACGGCUAAC